rnacentral:rRNA from 1 species
UGUGAUGGGGAGCGAAAUUUAGUAGCGAAGUAGCUGAUUUCACACUGUCAAGAAAAGUCUCUAUCGAGGUUAAAGGUACCCGUACCGCAAACCGACACAGGUGGGUGAGGAGAGUAUCCUAAGGCCAGCGAGAGAACUGUUGUUAAGGAACUCGGCAAAAUGACCCCGUAACGUAGGGAUAAGGGGUGCCACCAUCAGGUGGCCGCAGAGAAUAGGCCCAAGCGACUGUUUACCAAAAACAUAGGUUUCUGCUAAGUCGCAAGACGAUGUAUAGGAGCUGACGCCUGCCCGGUGCUGGAAGGUUAAGGGGAUCUGUUAGAGCAAUCGAAGCAGUGAACUUAAGCCCCAGUAAACGGCGGCCGUAACUAUAACG